rnacentral:rRNA from 1 species
AGAGUUUGAUCAUGGCUCAGAAUCAACGCUGGCGGCGCGCUUAACACAUGCAAGUCGAACGAGAAAGCCGGAGCAAUCUGGUGAGUAAAGUGGCGUACGGGUGAGUAACACGUGGAUGAUCUACCUUCUGGUGUGGAAUAACCGAGGGAAACCUUGGCUAAUACCGCAUAAGCUCGAGAGAGGAAAGCAGCAAUGCGCCGGAAGAGGAGUCCGCGGCCGAUUAGCUAGUUGGUAGGGUAAAAGCCUACCAAGGCAAAGAUCGGUAGCCGGCCUGAGAGGGCACACGGCCACACUGGCACUGAAACACGGGCCAGACUCCUACGGGAGGCAGCAGUGGGGAAUCUUGCACAAUGGGGGCAACCCUGAUGCAGCGACGCCGCGUGAGCGAUGAAGCCCUUCGGGGUGUAAAGCUCUUUCGUCAGGGAAGAUUAUGACGGUACCUGGAGAAGCAGCUGCGGCUAACUACGUGCCAGCAGCCGCGGUAAUACGUAGGCAGCGAGCGUUGUUCGGAGUUACUGGGCGUAAAGGGUGUGUAGGCGGUUGUUUAAGUUUGGUGUGAAAUCUCCCGGCUCAACUGGGAGGGUGCGCCGAAUACUGAAUGACUUCGAGUGCGGGAGAGGAAAGUGGAAUUCCUGGUGUAGCGGUGAAAUGCGUAGAUAUCAGGAGGAACCCGGUGGUGUAGACGGCUUUCUGGACCGUAACUGACGCUGAGACACGAAAGCGUGGGUACAAACAGGAUUAGAUACCCNNGUAGUCC